rnacentral:rRNA from 1 species
GACGAACGCUGGCGGCGUGCUUAACACAUGCAAGUCGAACGGAAAGGCCCUGCUUUUGUGGGGUGCUCGAGUGGCGAACGGGUGAGUAACACGUGAGUAACCUGCCCUUGACUUUGGGAUAACUUCAGGAAACUGGGGCUAAUACCGGAUAGGAGCUCCUGCUGCAUGGUGGGGGUUGGAAAGUUUCGGCGGUUGGGGAUGGACUCGCGGCUUAUCAGCUUGUUGGUGGGGUAGUGGCUUACCAAGGCUUUGACGGGUAGCCGGCCUGAGAGGGUGGCCGGCCACAUUGGGACUGAGAUACGGACCAGACUCCUACGGGAGGCAGCAGUCGGGAAUAUUGCACAAUGGGCGGAAGCCUGAUGCAGCAACGCCGCGUGCGGGAUGACGGCCUUCGGGUUGUAAACCGCUUUCGCCGGUGACGAAGCGUGAGUGACGGUAAUGGGUAAAGAAGCACCGGCUAACUACGUG